rnacentral:rRNA from 1 species
CCCUUAGAUGUUCUGGGCUGCACGCGCGCUACACUGACACACUCAGCGAGUCUCCUGGCCCGAGAGGGUUGGGUAAUCAUGUGAGCGUGUGUCGUGAUGGGGAUAGAAUAUUGUAAUUAUUGCUCUUCAACGAGGAAUUCCUAGUAAGCGCGAGUCAGCAGCUCGCGCUGAUUACGUCCCUGCCCUUUGUACACACCGCCCGUCGCUCCUACCGAUGGGGUGAUCCGGUGAAUGAUUCGGACUUCCGCAGUGCUAGCUACUAGCUUUGUGGAAGAAAGUCUUGUGAACCUUNUNACUUGANGGAAGGAGAANUCGUANCA